UUAAUGGAGAGUUUGAUCCUGGCUCAGGACGAACGCUGGCGGCGUGCUUUACACAUGCAAGUCGAGCGGAAAGGCC
rnacentral:rRNA from 1 species